rnacentral:rRNA from 1 species
AAACCUUACCUACCCUUGACAUGUCUGGAAAGCCGAAGAGAUUUGGCCGUGCUCGCAAGAGAACCGGAACACAGGUGCUGCAUGGCUGUCGUCAGCUCGUGUCGUGAGAUGUUGGGUUAAGUCCCGCAACGAGCGCAACCCUUGUCAUUAGUUGCUACGCAAGAGCACUCUAAUGAGACUGCCGGUGACAAACCGGAGGAAGGUGGGGAUGACGUCAAGUCCUCAUGGCCCUUAUGGGUAGGGCUUCACACGUCAUACAAUGGUCGGGACAGAGGGUCGCCAACCCGCGAGGGGGAGCCAAUCUCAGAAACCCGAUCGUAGUCCGGAUCGCAGUCUGCAACUCGACUGCGUGAAGUCGGAAUCGCUAGUAAUCGCGGAUCAGAAUGUCGCGGUGAAUACGUUCCCGGGUCCUGUACACACCGCCCGUCACACCAUGGGAGUUGGUUUCACCAGAAGUAGGUAGCCUAACCGUAAGGAGGGCGCUACCACGUUUUGA